rnacentral:rRNA from 1 species
GUAGGUGGCAAGCGUUGUCCGGAAUUAUUGGGCGCAAAGCGCGCGCAGGCGGUUCUUUAAGUCUGAUGUGAAAGCCCACGGGCUCAACCGUGGAGGGUCAUUGGAAACUGGAGAACUUGAGUACAGAAGAGGAAAGCGGAAUUCCACGUGUAGCGGUGAAAUGCGUAGAGAUGUGGAGGAACACCAGUGGCGAAGGCGGCUUUCUGGUCUGUAACUGACGCUGAGGCGCGAAAGCGUGGGGAGCAAACAGGAUUAGAUACCCUGGUAGUCCACGCCGUAAACGAUGAGUGCUAAGUGUUAGGGGGUUUCCGCCCCUUAGUGCUGCAGCUAACGCAUUAAGCACUCCGCCUGGGGAGUACGGCCGCAAGGCUG